CAAUAGCGUAUAUUAAUGUUGUUGCAGUUAAAAAGCUCGUAUUUGGACUUCUGCCCGGAGCGUCCGGUCGUCCCCUCACGGGGUCUGUACUUGGACGUCUUUGGGCAUCCUUGGCGAGAGCGUGUUGGGCAUUAAGUUGUCCGGCGUGGGAUCGCCAUCAUUUACUGUGAAAAAAUUAGAGUGUUUAAAGCAGGCUUGUGCUAUGAAUACAUUAGCAUGGAAUAAUAACUUAGGACUUUGGUUCUAUUUUGUUGGUUUCUAGGACCGAAGUAAUGAUUGAUAGGGAUAGUUGGGGGUGCUAGUAUUCAGCGGCCAGAGGUGAAAUUCUUGGAUUCGCUGAAGACUAACUCAUGCGAAAGCAUUCACCAAGGAUGUCUUCUUUAAUCAAGAACGAAAGUUGGGGAUCGAAGACGAUCAGAUACCGU
rnacentral:rRNA from 1 species